GACGAACGCUGGCGGCGUGCUUAACACAUGCAAGUCGAACGGAAAGGCCCUGCUUUUGUGGGGUGCUCGAGUGGCGAACGGGUGAGUAACACGUGAGUAACCUGCCCUUGACUUUGGGAUAACUUCAGGAAACUGGGGCUAUUAUCGGAUAGGAGCUACUGAUGCAUGGGGGGGGUUGGAAAGUUUCGGCGGUUGGGGAUGGACUCGCGGCUUAUGAGCUUGUUGGUGGGGUAGUGGCUUACCAAGGCUUUGACGGGUAGGCGGCCUGGGAGGGUGACCGGCCACAUGGGGACUGAGGGACGGCCCAGACUCCUACGUGAGGCAACAGUGGGGAAUAUUGCACAAUGGGCGGAAGCCUGAUGCAGCAACGCCGCGUGCGGGAUGACGGCCUUCGGGCGAUAAACCGCUUUCGCCUGUAACGAAGCGUGAGUGACGGUAAUUGGUAAAGAAGCAACGGCUAACUACGUG
rnacentral:rRNA from 1 species